rnacentral:rRNA from 1 species
AUUGAACGCUGGCGGCAUGCUUUACACAUGCAAGUCGAACGGUAACAGGCCUUCGGGUGCUGCCGAGUUGCGUACGGGUGAGUAAUGCAUCGGUACGUGCCCAGUGGCUGGGGGUAACGCAUCGAAAGCUGGGCUAAUAUCGCCGGUGCUCUGAUGAUUAACGCUUGGGUCCAGGCGCCAAUGUUUGGCCUCUCGCCUUUGUAGCAGCCUAUGUCAGCUUAGGUAGUUGGUGGGGUAAAGGCCUACCCUGCCGACGAUCUGUAACUGGUCUGAGAGGACGACUAGCUACAUUGGGAGUGAGGCACGUCACAGACUCCGGAGGGAGGACGCAGUGGGGAAUUUUGGACAAUGGGGGAAUGCGGGAUACAGCACUACGGGGUGAGGGAAGAAGGAGCUCGGGUUGGAAAGCGAUUUAGUACGGAACGAAAAGAAUCUGGCUAAUACGUGAGGCUAAUGACGGUACCGGAAGAAUAAGCACCGGCUAACUACGUG